rnacentral:rRNA from 1 species
ACGGGUGAGUAACACGUGGGUAACCUGCCCAUCAGAAGGGGAUAACACUUGGAAACAGGUGCUAAUACCGUAUAACACUAUUUUCCGCAUGGAAGAAAGUUGAAAGGCGCUUUUGCGUCACUGAUGGAUGGACCCGCGGUGCAUUAGCUAGUUGGUGAGGUAACGGCUCACCAAGGCCACGAUGCAUAGCCGACCUGAGAGGGUGAUCGGCCACACUGGGACUGAGACACGGCCCAGACUCCUACGGGAGGCAGCAGUAGGGAAUCUUCGGCAAUGGGCGAAAGUCUGACCGAGCAACGCCGCGUGAGUGAAGAAGGUUUUCGGAUCGUAAAACUCUGUUGUUAGAGAAGAACAAGGAUGAGAGUAAAAUGUUCAUCCCUUGACGGUAUCUAACCAGAAAGCCACGGCUAACUACGUGCCAGCAGCCGCGGUAAUACGUAGGUGGCAAGCGUUGUCCGGAUUUAUUGGGCGUAAAGCGAGCGCAGGCGGUUUCUUAAGUCUGAUGUGAAAGCCCCCGGCUCAACCGGGGAGGGUCAUUGGAAACUGGGAGACUUGAGUGCAGAAGAGGAGAGUGGAAUUCCAUGUGUAGCGGUGAAAUGCGUAGAUAUAUGGAGGAACACCAGUGGCGAAGGCGGCUCUCUGGUCUGUAACUGACGCUGAGGCUCGAAAGCGUGGGGAGCGAACAGGAUUAGAUACCCUGGUAGUCCACGCCGUAAACGAUGAGUGCUAAGUGUUGGAGGGUUUCCGCCCUUCAGUGCUGCAGCAAACG